rnacentral:rRNA from 1 species
GAUGAACGCUGGCGGCGUGCCUAAUACAUGCAAGUCGAACGCUGGAAAUCUAGCUUGCUAGAUUGAAGGAGUGGCGAACGGGUGAGUAAUACAUAAGCAACCUACCCACGAAGACUGGGAUAAUCUCUGGAAACGGGGACUAAUACCGGAUAGGUAAUCGGAAGGCAUCUUCUGAUUAUUAAAGGUUAAAAACACUGGUGGAUGGGCUUAUGGCGCAUUAGUUAGUUGGUGAGGUAACGGCCCACCAAGACGAUGAUGCGUAGCCGGCCUGAGAGGGUGAACGGCCGCAUUGGGACUGAGACACGGCCCAGACUCCUACGGGAGGCAGCAGUAGGGAAUUUUCGGCAAUGGGGGAAACCCUGACCGAGCAACGCCGCGUGAGUGAUGACGGCCUUCGGGUUGUAAAGCUCUGUUGUAAGGGAAGAACGGUAGAUAGAGAAUAUCUAAAUGACGGUACCUUACCAGAAAGCCACGGCUAACUACGUG